CAGCAGCCGCGGUAAUACAGAGGAUGCAAGCGUUAUCCGGAAUGAUUGGGCGUAAAGCGUCUGUAGGUGGCUUUUCAAGUCCGCCGUCAAAUCCCAGGGCUCAACCCUGGACAGGCGGUGGAAACUACCAAGCUGGAGUACGGUAGGGGCAGAGGGAAUUUCCGGUGGAGCGGUGAAAUGCGUAGAGAUGCGGAGGAAUACCGAAGGCGAAGGCAGCCCCUUGGGAAUGUACUGACGCUCAUGUGCGAAAGCGUGGGGAGCAAACAGGAUUAGAUACCCGAGUAGUCCUGUCUUUUAUACA
rnacentral:rRNA from 1 species